rnacentral:lncRNA from 1 species
CUUCAUCCAUGUGCUAGUUCAGCCUGUGAGAUGCUGGUGAGCCCACCUCCAGGCACUCACGGACUCCCCACCCAUUGAGUGUGGCCUGGAUUUAGUGACUCAAUCAAACGUGACAGAGUGCUGGGGUGUCAUUUUCAAGACUGGGUUAUGUGAAGACUGCAGCCUCCAUCUGGGGUGCUCUCUCUUGGAUUGCUUGCUCAGGGAUGUGGGGAGAGCUGCUGUGCUGGGAGGCUGCCCAUGUGAGUUGACUUGGAUGUGAACCUUCUGUGGCCUGCCAAUAGCCACGUGUUUGUGUGGACACUGCUGUCAUUUCUCUUGGGAAGAUACUGAGGAGUCAGAUUGCUGGAUCCCGUGAAGAAUGUGCACCUGGGAUUGGCUCUUGCUUCCUAAGGAACCUCAAAAAAGCUGCAACCUAUUGGAGACUUUUGAUUCAGCAUCAAGGAUAUGCGUGAGACUUUGGUUCUUUUCUGUUGGGACACAGUUGAUUCUGACUGUCUUAAAGUUAGGCUUUUCUAAAGAUUUAGACUAAUAAAUUAUUUGAAUGGGAAAAAAAAAAAAAAAAAA